CCCGGGCCUUGUACACACCGCCCGUCACACCAUGGGAGUUGGUUUUACCCGAAGACGGUGCGCUAACCGCAAGGAGGCAGCCGGCCACGGUAAGGUCAGCGACUGGGGUGA
rnacentral:rRNA from 1 species